rnacentral:misc_RNA from 1 species
UACAUAGGGGGCGAGCGUUGUCCGGAAUCAUUGGGCGUAAAGCGCAUGUAGGCGGCCUAGUAAGUCGGAUGUGAAAUCCCGAGGCUCAACUUCGGAACUGCAUCCGAUACUGCUGGGCUUGAGGAAGGUAGAGGAGAGUGGAAUUCCCGGUGUAGCGGUGGAAUGCGCAGAUAUCGGGAGGAACACCAGCGGCGAAGGCGGCUCUCUGGGCCUCUCCUGACGCUGAGAUGCGAAAGCGUGGGUAGCGAACAGG